UGCAAGAUGGCUGAGUUGUAAGCGGAAGACUGUAGAUCUUUUCACGGACUAAAUGUUCUCUUGUAA
rnacentral:tRNA from 1 species